rnacentral:lncRNA from 1 species
UACCUCAGCACACUGGUGGAUUAAGAAUGGGUUAUAAGCAUGUGAAAAUGUUGGAUUUGCUCACAAUUGCGGAGUGUCAGGAGCACAGGAGUUAAACAUUAUGUAGAAGAAUCAGGGACAAGAAAAAUGCAGAUGUUCAUUCUCCUGGUGCCUUUCAUGGUUGAUCUGGAUGCUAAACAGUCCUGGCAACUCUCUAUGAAAAAUGCUUCUCUGUCCUUUUCAUCACCCAAGAGAGAAACAGAACCAAUAGGACAAGGGUCCCCAACCCUGAGGCUACAGACCAGUGCCAGUCCAUGGCCUGCUAGGAACUGGGCUGCACAGCAAGAGGUGAGCGGCAGGUAAGUAUUACUUUCUGAGCUCUGCCUCCUGUUAGGUCAGCAGCUGUAUUAGCUUCUUAUAGGAACGUGAACCCUAUUGUCAACUCUAGGUUGCACACUUCUUAUGAGAAUCUAACUAAUGCCUGAUGAUCUGAGGUUGAACAGUUUCAUCCUGAACCCAUCCCCCCAUCCUGGCACCCCCCUUCCCAAACUGAUCCUGUAAAAAUUA